UACGUAGGAUGCAAGCGUUGUCCGGAUUUACUGGGCGUAAAGCGCGCGCAGGCGGCACUCUAAGUACGUCGUGAAAUAUCCCGGCUCAACCGGGAGGGUGCGAUGUAGACUAGGGAGCUAGAGGUCGGUAGAGGGGGGUGGAAUUGCUGGUGUAGCGGUGAAAUGCGUAGAGAUGUGGAGGAACACCGAUGGCGAAGGCAGCCCCCUGGGUCAAGAUUGACGCUCAUGCACGAAAGCGUGGGGAGCAAACAGG
rnacentral:rRNA from 1 species